AUGCUACAGGACGGUAUCCCGUUCGGACAGGAUGAUACCUCAGAGGUAUCGUCUGAUACCCAGGUAUGCCAAUACCUAGUAGGUAUUGGCGAUACCUUGAGGUAUCAUCAUGUCCAAACGGGGUAUCAGCCGAUACCUUAGAUGAUCAUCCCGUCUGAACGGGAAACCGUCCCGUAGCAU
rnacentral:pre_miRNA from 1 species